GUAGUACUCCCUCCGUUCGGAAUUACUUGUCUCGAAAAUGGAUGUAUCUAGAACUAAAAUACAUCUAGAUACAUCCAUUUCUGCGACAAGUAAUUCCGAAUGGAGGGAGUACUAG
rnacentral:pre_miRNA from 1 species